GAGGGUAUAGCUCAAGUGGUAGAGCACAUGCUUAGCAUGCAUGAGGUCCUGGGUUCAAUCCCCAGUACCUCCA
rfam:Camelus ferus unplaced genomic scaffold scaffold160, whole genome shotgun sequence.